CACGUAGGAGGCGAACGUUAUCCGGAUUUACUGGGCGUAAAGCGCGUGUAGGUGGUUUUGUAAGUAGGGCGUGAAAGCUCCUGGCUCAACUAGGAGAGGCCGUUCUAAACUGCAGAGCUAGAGGAUGGUAGAGGGAGGUGGAAUUCCAGGUGUAGCGGUGGAAUGCGCAGAUAUCUGGAGGAACACCAGUGGCGAAGGCGGCCUCCUGGACCAUUCCUGACACUCAGACGCGAAAGCUAGGGUAGCAAACGGGAUUAGAAACCCUGUAGUCC
rnacentral:rRNA from 1 species